rnacentral:rRNA from 1 species
UACGUAGGGUGCAAGCGUUGUCCGGAAUUAUUGGGCGUAAAGAGCUCGUAGGCGGUUUGUCGCGUCUGCUGUGAAAACUCGGGGCUUAACUCCGGGCCUGCAGUGGGUACGGGCAGACUAGAGUGCGGUAGGGGAGACUGGAAUUCCUGGUGUAGCGGUGAAAUGCGAAGAUAUCAGGAGGAACACCGGUGGCGAAGGCGGGUCUCUGGGCCGUAACUGACGCUGAGGAGCGAAAGCGUGGGGAGCGAACAGG